GACGAACGCUGGCGGCGUGCCUAAUACAUGCAAGUUGAGCGCUGAAGGUUGGUACUUGUACCAACUGGAUGAGCAGCGAACGGGUGAGUAACGCGUGGGGAAUCUGCCUUUGAGCGGGGGACAACAUUUGGAAACGAAUGCUAAUACCGCAUAAAAACUUUAAACACAAGUUUUAAGUUUGAAAGAUGCAAUUGCAUCACUCAAAGAUGAUCCCGCGUUGUAUUAGCUAGUUGGUGAGGUAAAGGCUCACCAAGGCGAUGAUACAUAGCCGACCUGAGAGGGUGAUCGGCCACAUUGGGACUGAGACACGGCCCAAACUCCUACGGGAGGCAGCAGUAGGGAAUCUUCGGCAAUGGACGAAAGUCUGACCGAGCAACGCCGCGUGAGGGAAGAAGGUUGUCGGAUCGUAAAACUCUGUUGGUAGAGAAGAACGUUGGUGAGAGUGGAAAGCUCAUCAAGUGACGGUAACUACACAGAAAGGGACGGCUAACUACGUG
rnacentral:rRNA from 1 species